UCCCUGGUAGCUCAGAUGGUAAAGCGUCUGACUACAAUGCAGGAGAUCUGGGUUCGAUGCCUGGUCGGGAAG
rnacentral:tRNA from 1 species